rnacentral:sRNA from 1 species
UACUCCUGGGCGAGUCGGAUGAGCUCCGACC